rnacentral:rRNA from 1 species
GAUCUUUAUUUUUAUUUUUUAUAAAUUAAUAAGAUUUAAAAAAUUUAUAUUAAAAUUAAAAAUUUUACUGGGGUGGUAUUAAAAUUUAAUGAACUUUUAUAAAUUAUUACAUAAAUAUAUGAAUAAUUGAUCCAAUUAUAUUGAUUAAAAAAUUAAGUUACCUUAGGGAUAACAGCGUAAUUUUUUUUUAGAGUUCAUAUCGACAAAAAAGAUUGC